rnacentral:tRNA from 1 species
GGGAUGGUAUGCUCAGUGGUAGAGCGUGUGCUUAGCAUGCACAAGGUCUGGGUUCAAUCCCCAGUAAAUCCA